rnacentral:miRNA from 1 species
CCUCCAAAGGGAAGCACUUUCUGU